rnacentral:tRNA from 1 species
GUCUCCGUGGUGUAACAGGCCAGCACAUUCGGCUGUUAACCUAAAGUUUGGUGGUUUGAGCCCACCCAGGGAUG